GUUGCGUUUUUUUGUGUAUGCAGUUGACUGUACAUAAGAUUGCAGAGUAGAGAGCAGCUUGGGAAUUCAGUAGGAAUUUUAGGAAUUCUUCCUCAUCCUCAGUCAAUUUUGAGAAGCACAGAAUAUGCUUUAGCCUUAAUGCAGAAGACUGUGAAUGAAGCCUGUGUAAAAUGUCGUGCACUGAAGUUCCGUGAUAUAAGGCUGAUUUAUCUCUUUCAUCUUCUCUGGAAAGCUUCCUGUCUUAAAGAAAUUGGGACGCAUUUAAUUUUUUAAAAUACAAUUUAGAAUUACAAAAAUGUACCAUCACUGACUUUGAAGAACUAGGUUUUUGUACAUACAGCUUCCAUAGUGGUUGCUUUAAGUAUUAAACAGGUUUUUCAUGGUGUGAUGUUUGUUUUGAACAGUAUGUUAA
rnacentral:lncRNA from 1 species